rnacentral:lncRNA from 1 species
CCCUUUGCCGAGUCUUUGUCUGGCCCCAGCCCCGCGGGGCCCCGGGUCCCUGUGCCCUCGGGGGUCCCUAGAAGGCGACAAUGGCUCGAGUCCAGGCGCCGAGGCUGGCGAGCGCCUGCUUGGCGCACAGCUGCCCGUUGAGCGGCGGCGGCUGCUCCGAGGAGUCCGGCUGUCGGCUCACCAGCCCCGAGAAGCCGGAGCCAAAGAUGGAGAUCAAGUUUGAGAUGUUGGACGCGUCCGGGGACGAGUCCGGGCAGAAGUCCUCGAAGCGGGCGCGCUUGCAGGGGGCGAACGGGGCGCCCCCGGGGGGCUCGGCCCCCAGCCCGCCCGCAUCCUCCUCGUCGUCUUCCUCCUCCUCCUGGCCAGGGAGCCGGCUCAGGUGUCUCUCCCUCCAGGAAGUGGGGCUUGUGCCCUUUGGAUACCUGCACUCCCCAUCACCGCACUCCCCAUCGUGGCACUUCCCUUGUUGCAGUUUUAUGGAGUGUGCGUCUGGCUCUCCAACUAGACUUGAACCGCUUGAGUGCAUAACUCGGGACUUGACCAUUUGCGUCUCCCUACGGCCAGCUCAGCCUCCGCACACAGGGACCUGCAGAGAGUGGAUGUAGCCACUGCCCCAGCGUCCCUGGGCUCUGAAGAGAAGCCAUUGCCCUUCAAGAGCCACCCUCAUUUCCUGGGCACUGGUUGGAAAAAACGAAGAAAAAGAGACACCCAGCUCACCUCCAAGUUUGCCUGCAGGUGAAUAUCUUGUUGAAAGAGAGGGGACUCCCUGAGUCUUGCUGGGUUGAGGAAGCUGAUUGGAUUUCCGGACUCAGAGGAGGGCUGCAGAGAGGGAGGAAUGGGGGGGAUGGGCAGCUGGCUUUCUGGAUGGGUGCAGGACAAUGACAUUGAUGGGGAAGCUUGGGGUGGCUCUGCCGUUGCCCACUGCUUGGCUGGUGAACUUGCUACAUCUUGGCCAGCACUAUCCUCUUCUGGCCUGCACCCUGCCAGACACAGGCAGUACCCCAAAUACCCUGUCCCUGUGCCCCGAAGUCUCCAUGACCUUCAGAUCCCAAGGGACAAGUGGCUCCACGAGGCAGGGCCUGUCCCUCUGGCUCACACUAUGGAGUCCACAGAACCUAGCCCGGAGCCUAGUGCACAGUAGGUGCUCAAUGUAUUCUAUUUGAAUGUUGCAUGAGUGAAUAAAUGCAGGAAUGUCAGGCUGGAAAACAGGUAUUUGUACACCUGUUUUCAUAGCAGUGUUAUUCACAGUAGUCAAAGGGUGGAAGCAUCCCACGUGUCUGCUGAUGGGUGAACGAGUAAACAGAAUGUGCCCCAGCCAUACAAUGGAAUGCGAUUCAGCCUUUUUUUUUUGAGACGGAGUCUGGCUCUGUCACCCAGGCUGGAGUGCAGUGGCACGACCUCAGCUUGCUGCAACCUCUGUCUCCCGGGUUCAAGUGAUUCUCCUGCUUCAGCCUCCUGAGUAGCUGGGAUUACAGGCAUGUACCACCACACCUGGCUAAUUUUUAUAUUUUUAGCAGAGACAGGGUUUCACCAUGUUGGCCAGGGGCUGGUGUCGAACUCCUGACCUCAAGUGAUCCUCCCUCUUCGGCCUCUCAAAGUGCUGGGAUUACAGGCGUGAGCCACGGCGCCCGGCCACGAUUCACCCUUAAAAAAGGAAGGACAUUCUGACACAUGCUACGACUUGGGUGAACCUUGAGUACCUGAGUGAAAUAAGCCCAUCAAAAAAGGACAAAUAUUAGCCAGGUGCUGUGGCUAAUGCCUGUAAUCUCAGCACUUUGGGAGGCCAAGGACGGAGGAUUGCUUGAGGAUUGCUCAAUACCAGCCUGGGCCACAAAGCAAGACCACCCAUGUGAGGUGUUUAGAGUAGUCAAAUUCAUAGAGACAGUAGGAUGGGGAGUGCCAGGAGCUGGGGAGAAGGGGGAAUGGGGAGUUAGAGUUUAAUGGGGACAGAUUUUCAGUUUUACAAGAUGAAAAAUGUUCUGGAGAUGAUGGUGGUGAUAGAGGCACAAUGUGGAUAUGCUUCAUGCCACUGAACUGGACCUAACCA